CAGGUCUCUCCAAAUAAAGGCUAAAAAUCCGCCCUAAGGGGUGGUCGGCCGGCCUUAGUUUGAAAAAUGGCCCCCAACUCCCCCGGGUUUUCUGUAGGAAAUCUUCGCCAAUGAAAGGAAGUCUGUUCCAGCCCGGCGUCGUGGGUGUAGAAGAUUUUCGGAUCCAAAAGAUUUUUCUUCAUAAGAACGUUGGUAUGAGUGAAAAUCAGAAAAAACGGUAUGUAAACAGAAAGCAAGGCGUUAUCAUUGACCAGCCGCGGUAAUACGCAGGUCCCGGGAAUGGUCUAAUUUUAUUUGCGGAAAACGAGCGCAGGCGGUUCUUUAAUACAGAAAUAUAGCAUGUUGUCUCAUGGUAAGCUAGAGGAAUUGGAAAACUGAGUCAGGGGGGGGGAAGGAUACAUAGAACGGUAAUCGUCAAAUAAGGAGAACACCGGUGGCGAAAACGGCACUCUGGUAGAACUACAAUGAGACGCGAAAGCAGGGGAGCAAACUG
rnacentral:rRNA from 1 species